rnacentral:lncRNA from 1 species
UAGGAUCCUAUCAAAUGGUAUCAGAGCCUUCGAUUCACGGACAAAGGGAAACUAUGUUUAGCAGAGAAGUACAAGAGAGUUUAAACUUGGUAAUGAGUAUGUUGGAGAAGAGGUUAAGGCGACAGGAAGGAGAUCGAAACGAUGAUUCAGGGUUGGUUCAUGCGGCCGACUUAACACAUCGUUAUUCUAUGGGGACAAUUUAGAUUUGUGGUUGAUUGAGGCGGAGCGAUGCCUAGACAAGAAUCGCGGCAUACCGGAGAGGAAAAAGGUAGAAGCUGCAGUUGCUUGCUUUUAUGGAGAGGCUCGGGCAUGGUUCCAAGUUUG